ensembl:lncRNA
GGGCGAGCGCCGCCCGUGAGGAGAGCGGCGGUGCCCGCGGAGCCCGCGCUGCGCCUCAUUCCCGCGCUGCCGUGUGAGGCCGCGGCUCAGCGCUGCGUUCAGCCCGGGCUCCCCGCUCUCUGAAAGACAGCGAGGCCCUGGAGCGUCCUGAGGGAGGCAGCGACGCUGUGAGGACACAUGGCCCUCAGAACCCCAGCGCUUGGCUCCUGGCAGGGCAGAAGACAUUGUGACAUGGCGGCACAGCAGCAGCAGGAUGUCCCCUUGGAGAAUCUGCCAAGUCUACUUGGAGAACACGUCCAUGGCAUUAAGAUAUUCCACCAGCCCUGAGUGCUCGUAAUCUCACUGGAACAGAAUACUGAAAGCUGCAAAGUUUACUGUACUGCUGUUCACCAGAUACCACUUGUGAACACAGAAAUGUCAUUGUCAGUGAGCUCUAAACACCCUAAAAGGUUUAAGACUAAUAAACCUGACUGAUACCCUGCCAGCUUUGUGAAAAGGUUACAUAUGAUUUAGGUAGACCAGUAUAAUACAAUCAGUGCUUUUUGUUACUCUCUGCAGAAUCUAGCUAAUCCUCCAACACACACUAGCAGGCAAAUCGUGAAGAUCCCCACCGGGCCACGUCAUGUCAUGCGUCCGGUGUUCAUGGCCAGACCUUCCCAUUCCUGUGCUAUCCCCCGCAGAGCUGCCCAAAGGCCACCUCCCAGCAUCUCUCCGAAACUGAUCUUCACAAAUUUAGGCCAAGGCACGGAGAUGAGACAGCCUAGGGGCGGCGGUGAGGUGAUCUCCUUAGUAGGUAGGAGGGAAGCAUCUGUUCUCAUUCUCUUGUGUCGCUUCAUGUUUAAG